rnacentral:misc_RNA from 1 species
CUCUUGCAUCAUGAAAAUUAUUUUAUACAUGUGUGCGCGUGUGUGCAGGCGUGUGCAUAAGAACACAAAUGUGUUACAUUUAUUAAUUGUGAUAUGUGAUAGAUUAUGGAUGACCCACUAAUUCCAAAAUGAAAAAGGAAAUGAAAGAAUGAAAUAACAAGUAUGCAAAUGAGCUUAAUGUUACAUAAAGUUAUGGGAUAUCAAGGCAAGGCAAUCUGUGUCUCCGUCAUUCAAUAUAUUAUGUGUCGUAUAAGAGGAAGUUCUAACGAGCUCCUAUAGAAUGCUAGGCACAUUGAAAUAAUGGAAUGAAAUGUUUGAGGAAAUCAUUGGUGAGAUGGCUACCAUUUAUGAAUUGUUUGAGUUUGUGUAAACCAUGCAUAUGCUGCAUUUUAUGUACUUGAAAAUUUCUUUAAAUAUUAUUUUUGCCUCUUUCUUAGUUUCACUACUCAUUGAGUUUAUAUACUCACACCACUACUUUUGUCUACCUCUUCAAUGCGAAGAGUAGAAGAUUAGGUCAACAGAUUUUGAAUAAAUAAACUCUAAGAUUUGAUGUGACACUUUUUAAAUAUUCUUAUAUUGUAUUCUUUUAAUGGAGCUUCUUUGAAACAUGUGUGAUUUUGAUCAUCUUUUUGUACUGUCCUUGCUACUAUUGAUUUUGUAUUAAUGAGCUACUUUUUAUGUUUUGCCCAUUUUAUUGGUACUAUGACUAUCGUAUGAUAUACUAUGCAUAGAGCACUUAUUUACCUUGAUUCUACUCAUAAAAAGGAAUGUAUAAUUAAGCACGCUUACGAAACAUGAAUGCCCAGUUUAGAAAGUUUAUGAAUAUGUGAUAGAUGUGAAAUCUGGUUGGUAAAUAUGUGGGUCCAUGGAAA